UACGAGGGGGGCAAGCGUUGUUCGGAAUUAUUGGGCGUAAAGAGCUCGUAGGCGGUCUGUCGCGUCGGAUGUGAAAGCCCGGGGCUUAACCCCGGGUCUGCAUUCGAUACGGGCAGACUAGAGUGUGGUAGGGGAGAUCGGAAUUCCUGGUGUAGCGGUGAAAUGCGCAGAUAUCAGGAGGAACACCGAUGGCGAAGGCAGGUCUCUGGGCAUUAACUGACGCUGAGGAGCGAAAGCAUGGGGAGCGAACAGG
rnacentral:rRNA from 1 species